UUUUUUUUUUUUUUUUUAAAAAAAACCUCAACUGAUAACAAAAACUGAGAGAGUUACUUCAGAGCUGGUACUGAUAAGGGAAUUUGAUCUGUGGCAACUUUAAAAAUAGUUUUGGUGAUGAUAAAGUUGUGUGAAAGUAGUACAAAUGAUACCCAUGAUCCUUUACUGCAUUUACUAAUCUCUUUCAUGUUUAAAAUUAUAUUCCAAAUUUGGUUUACACAGUCUUCUAUAUACUUGCAAAUGUGUCUGAAUUAGGUGGGCUAUGUUUCAAAACGAAAAACUCAAAUGCAAGAAGCUAGGAAACUUCUCAUUUCCCAUAGAAUUCCUAGCAGAAAAGAAGAGGUAAAACUGUUGAUGCUUAACUUGUUUCUAUAACGGCUGUAUGGUGUCAUUACCCCAUCCUUAACUGAGAAUGUUUUUUUUGGAAAUUUAUCGGGAACAGGUAAGGACAAAUUUAACCUGAUAUUUGUCAGACAUAUCCUUGUCAACUACAUUUUUGGUGCAAAUUUUAGUUCCAAAUAAAGUUGCCAGAUUUAUCAAAUACAACAACGGAAUACUCAGUUAAAUUUGAAGUAGAGAUAAACAACUUUUUUUUUUGGUGUAAGUAUGCCACAAAUAUUACAUGGGACAUAGUUAUAUUUAAAAAUUAUCCUUUUUAAUUUAAAAUUCAAAUUUUAAAUCUGGAAACAAAUCUGACUGGCAUCCAUCAGGCUGCAGGUUUGAUCCUUGGCCUCAUUCAGUGGGUUAAGGAUCCAGCAGUAUAGGUAACAGACGUGGCUCGGAUCCCAUGUUACUGUGGCUGUGGUGCCUCCAUAUGCCACGUGUGUGGCCCUGAAAAGACAAAAUUUUUUUUAAAUUCAGAUUUAAUUAGAUGUGAUGAAUUCUAUCUGGCAAUACUAAUUUCAUUUUUUUUUUUUUAGGACUGCACCUGCAGCAUAUGGAGAUUCCCAGGCUAGGGGUUGAAUCGGAGCUGUAGCUGUUGGCCUACGCAGGAUCCCAGCCACAUCUUUGACCUACACCAUAGCUCAUGGCAACGUUGGAUCCUUAACUCACUGAGCUAAGCCAGGGAUUUCGAACCUGUGUCCUCAUGGAUGCUAGUCAGAUUCGUUAACCACUGAGCCAUCUCGGGAACUCCAAUACUAAUUUUAGAGUGAGUAGUUUAGUAACUUGAAAUCAAAGGGCCAUAAACCAGGAGUAUUUAUUUGACAAGCACCACUAAUAAGGGUAAGAAACUAAUCUAAACCACUAAUCUCCUUCCAUUCCCUACCCUUCACUAGUAUCCUUAUAAAAUAAUUUUAAAUGAUUUUUAAAUGAUUUUUUAAUAAAAUAAUUUAAAUUUUGGUUCAUUUUUGUUCCUCCUGCCGCACCCAUGGCACAUGGAAGUUCCCAGGACAGGGGUUAAACCCACACCACAGCAGUGACCCAGGUCGUUGCAGUGACAAUGCCGACCCUUAACCUGCUGCACCGCAAGAGAAUUCCUCAGUCCAUAUUUUUAUACAGUAGUAACCCAAGUCAGUAGUAACUUUUUUUUUUUAUAAUGAUUUUUAUUUUUUCCAUUGUGAGUGGUAACUUUGAAAAGCAGCUUGGAUUUAACAGAAAAUCAACCUUUUCAUCGGUCAAAAGAAGGCAUUCCAGAUUAAAAUUCCUCAUUUAUUUAUGUCAAUAUUUUCAGCCAGUAAAAUAAUCAUAGCUUAUACAUAGUUGUUACGACCUACAAAGUCAGCUGAAACUUUGCCUGUGGAAUAACUGAUUUAUGUAUCGUAUAAAUGAAAAAAUAGUAUCAGUAGAUUAUUGACCUGACAUUGUUAACUGAAAUUAAAAUGCAAAAUACUCGAUUCAUUGUGUAUCAGUAAAAAAGAAAAAAAAAAUCAUCCUCAUUAAAGGUACAGUGUCAAAUGCUUGAGAGUAAAGGAAAAAAAUUUUUUUUGUCCUUUUAGGGCCACACCCAUGGAAUAUGGAGGUUCCCAGGCUAGGGGUCGAAUCGGAGCUGUAGCUGCCAGCCUACACCACUGCCAGGGCAACGAGGGAUCCUUAACCCACUGAGCAAGGCCAGGGAUUGAACCCUCGUCCUGAUGGAUGCUAGUCAGAUUCGUUUCCACUGAGCCACGACGGGAACUCCAGGAAAUUCUUAAUCAGCCCAGACAGCAGAGGGGAGGGAGAACAAACAUGAGCAAGUGAGUAUCUAUCAAGGUAUGGAAGGCAGAAUAAGGAAUCCUCUCCCCAAAAUAUGUCCAAGUCUUAAUCCCCAGACCUGUGACCUGUAAAAGGGACUUUGCUGAUGUGACUAAAUUUAAAUAUCUUAAAAUAGGGAAAUUAUCCUGAAUUGGGUGAGUGGACCCAAACUAAUCACCCAAGUCUUUAAAAGUAGAGGACCCUUCCUUGCUGUGCAGAAUCAGAGAUGGGAGCAUGAGAAAGACUCAACACAGUUGCUGGCUUUGAAGAUGGGAGAAGGGGCCACGUGCCAAGGAAUACAGAUGGUCUCUGAUAGCUAGAAAAAGCAAGGAAAUGGGUUCUCCCUUAGAGUUGCCAGAGAGAAACUCAGCACUGCCAACACCUUUAUUUUAGCUCAGUGAGACUGGUGUCUGGCUUAAUAAAUAACUAUGAAUUUAUCUUGUUUUAAACUACUACAUUAGAAAAAUAAAAUAAAAAACUAUAAGAGAAAUCUAACAUGUAAGGCUAGAUUCUUUCCAAUUAAAACACUCUGGAAUUUGAGAUUAGGCAGUCUCACAAAUGGUCUCAGGGCACGGAACUCUGUAAGAAACUAAAGGAUUUUUUCUUGAAAUCUGGAUGUGAAUUUGCAUGCUACCUCCCACUCUUGGCUACACCUUCUCCACUAAUUUAGAGUUUCCCCCCCCCCAGGGGUUGUCAAAUAGCUACCC
rnacentral:lncRNA from 1 species